UACGUAGGGCGCGAGCGUUAUCCGGAAUUAUUGGGCGUAAAGAGCUCGUAGGCGGUUUGUCGCGUCUGCCGUGAAAGUCCGGGGCUUAACCCCGGAUCUGCGGUGGGUACGGGCAGACUGGAGUGCAGUAGGGGAGACUGGAAUUCCUGGUGUAGCGGUGAAAUGCGCAGAUAUCAGGAGGAACACCGAUGGCGAAGGCAGGUCUCUGGGCUGUUACUGACGCUGAGGAGCGAAAGCAUGGGGAGCGAAC
rnacentral:rRNA from 1 species